UCGCCUGUUUUUACAAAAACAUUGCCUCUUGAUAUAAAAUAAAAGGUACAUCCUGCCCAGUGACUAAAUGUUUAACGGCCGCGGUACCCUGACCGUGCUAAGGUAGCAUAAUCAUUUGCCUCUUAAUUAGUGGCUAGUAUGAAUGGACAAACGAGAAUUCCCCUGUCUCUAUAAAGCCAAUGAAAAUUAAUCUUCAGGUGAAGAAGCCUGAAUCUCAUUAAAAGACAAAAAGACCCUAUUGAGCUUACAUUCAAUCUCUAAAAUAUUAAAAUAAAAUAAAACUACCCUUUUUACAAGAAUUUUGCUGGGGCGGCAAAGGAACAACCAAAAAUUCCUUUUCUCAAAGACUUAUAAGUCUAUUAACUGAUCCGUAUUAACGAUUAACAAAACUAGUUACCAUAGGGAUAACAGGCUAAUUUUUCUCUAAAGCUCACAUUAACAGAAAAGAUUGGCACCUCGAUGUUGGCUUAGGAUAUCCUAAGGGCGCAGAAGCCUUUUAAGGUGGGUUUGUUCAACCUUUAAAAUCCUACGUGAUCUGAUUUUCAGACCGGA
rnacentral:rRNA from 1 species